GUGAGGAAUAUUGGACAAUGGGCGCAAGCCUGAUCCAGCCAUGUCGCGUGCAGGAAGACGCAUCUAUGGUGUGUAAACUGCUUUUGUACGGGAAGAAACACUCCCUCGUGAGGGAGCUUGACGGUACCGUAAGAAUAAGGAUCGGCUAACUCCGUGCCAGCAGCCGCGGUAAUACGGAGGAUCCAAGCGUUAUCCGGAAUCAUUGGGUUUAAAGGGUCCGUAGGCGGUUUAAUAAGUCAGUGGUGAAAGCCCAUCGCUCAACGAUGGAACGGCCAUUGAUACUGUUAGACUUGAAUUACAAGGAAGUAACUAGAAUAUGUAGUGUAGCGGUGAAAUGCUUAGAUAUUACAUGGAAUACCAAUUGCGAAGGCAGGUUACUACUUGUGGAUUGACGCUGAUGGACGAAAGCGUGGGGAGCGAACAGGAUUAGAAACCCGUGUAGUCC
rnacentral:rRNA from 1 species